rnacentral:rRNA from 1 species
UACGUAAGGUCCGAGCGUUGUCCGGAAUCAUUGGGCGUAAAGGGUACGUAGGCGGAUAAGCAAGUUAGAAGUGAAAUCCUAUAGCUCAACUAUAGUAAGCUUUUAAAACUGUUUAACUUGAGAGAUGGAAGGGAAAGUGGAAUUCCUAGUGUAGCGGUGAAAUGCGUAGAUAUUAGGAAGAAUACCAGUGGCGAAGGCGACUUUCUGGACACAAACUGACGCUGAGGUACGAAAGCGUGGGGAGCAAACAGG